UUAAAAAAUGAACACUAAAAUAGAAAAUAGUUUCAAGCAAAAUAAGAAGUCUAACAUAAAGUACAAAAUUAAGACACACCUAAGCCGAAGCUCCUUGAUGGCGUCGAGCUCCUUGAUUUUCGAGGGUGUCGUAGCUCACCAUGUGUGUUGUUCCAACCUUUUUUGGAGUAACAUAAGACAAGGAGAAAUAUUGGACUUGCUUGAAGGUUGCAGCAAGCUGGAAUGAAUUCUAACUUCUUCACUUGAUGCAUCAUAUGUAGCUUAGCUUCGGUGUCUGAAAAAAUGACUUAAAAAUACGGAUAAUCUGGCAUUCGAAGAGGAAAGAUAUAUAACCUAGAAUGAAUUCUAACUUCUUCACUUGAUGCAUCAUAUGUAGCUUAGCUUCGGUAUGUGAAAAAAUGACUUAAAAAUACGGAUAAUCUGGCAUUGGAAGAGGAAAGAUAUAUAACCUAAUAUCUUUCGGCAUUUGCAUAUAAAGGUCGAGGUAUCACCUGCAGAAACUGCAACAUAUCAAUCACUAAAAAAACUCAAACAGAAAUCUGUUGUGAGUAACUGGAAAUCAUAAAAAAUAUCAAUAGUCCCAACAUAUAUAACCAGUGAACGGAAAGCAUAGUGUAAAAUCAUAAUAUUAGGUAGGUCCUUUGCUGAGCACAUAGUAAAAAAAAGGAGAUCAAAAAAUUUAAAGGCCUUAGUAGAAUUUAAAGGUUGCACAAUUCUUGUGAAAUUAUGAAAGUAAUUUAUCAAUAAUCCAUAUUUGGUUUCCCGUUGCACCUUGUUAGACCAGGGACCAUAUAUGUCCGAGUCCAACAUUAUUCCAAAUGUUGUUUCCGACUAGCUUUAACUUUCUCUCAUCUACUACAACUUAUCCAUUGUAGGCCAGGAGUAUAAGUAUGAGCACAAAUAUGAAUUAAAAAACAUUUCUUAUGCAUAGAGUAAUGCACCAGAAUCCAGAACAUAAAUAAUAAACAAUUAAUCGUAAAUAGAUAAUUGAGUCAGGAUCACAAUUUAAUUCUUUAUUUUGAAAAUUUUAUCUGCUUGUGUUGAAUUGAUCACAAGGCUGGAACUGCAGGAGAGGGAAUUACAGGGAUAAAACUUGAAGAUGAAUCAGCCUCCUCCACGAUGACUUUCACCAAGUAGGAGGAGAUCCCCGUCUCCGAGGGCCAUACAGGCGAAACACCCUCCACUCCAUGGUUUUCCUUACCUGCAAUUUUUCCGCCACUGAUCAAUGAGCAUUAUCAACACGCAAAAACUCUUUUCAAUUGACGUGAAAUUAAAGCUUCUAGACUCUAGAUCUACCUCACAUGUGAAGAAUUGUGGCUUCUUAAUGGGGGCAUGCGUGUCUCCAAUGUCGUUUGCUUGGCGCCAUCAGAAAAGAAAGGUACCAACAAGUCCUGCAGCUUGCCUUGGAUCAGUGCAGUCAACAUGCGCCACCAACAUCAGAUGUCGUGCUAGUGACCGAGAUGAUCCGAUAGUCCUAACCAAUGACCUCAUACAACAUACGUUAUUGAAUAAAGCUUAAGGUUCUUGUAGCAAUUGCUUGUGUAUAUAAUGUACUCCCUCUCACCUAUUCAAAUGCUGAAACGAUAUACGACACUGUAGAAUAAAACAAUGUCUCCACAAUUGCACUAACCUUGGUAUCUCUACAAGUGGUUGGCAUUGGCAGUAUGUUGAUUUAGAUCCUUGCGUCAUUGAAGUAUGAAAUUGAAAAGAUUUAUUUAUGUACUACAGAGAGAGAGAGAGAGAACCAUGGCUCUUUUAGCUUCUUGUGGCUACAGGUCAAGAGGCAUAGGCAGCGCAUCGACUUCGAAUGCCCUGCCAAGAACGACUGCUCCAUGUGAUGGAUUGCAGCAGAGCAGCUGAUCCUGAAUACCCAGAAGUCGCAACAAAAAAUUGUUUGAAAACUACAUCAUAUUAUUAGUGUCGACACUCUAAUCAGACAACAUUCAGCGACAUGUGUGGCUUAACCUAGGAACUCGCACUCUCUGACUCGGCUGGGAAACGCCGGAAUCAGUCAGCAACUAAGCCCGUCUUGUACGCACCAAUCCAUCCAUCUAGAACCACCAACGGGGUCAGCAAGAGCGCCAGUCCCUACCCGGAGACGAACGGAGCGCCAGAUCCAUAGUUCAGCGCCCGCAACAAACGAAUCUAAUGGGGCCGGCCACCCGCGCGCAGACGCGGCCGUGGGGCGAAGGGAGCGAUCGGCGAUGGGGCUUCGCGGGAGAGGAGGAGGGGGAGGGCAUGACCGGUGGUUGAUUGGGUGGUCAGUUAC
rnacentral:lncRNA from 1 species